AUCUUUGCGCUUGGGGCAAUGACGCAGCUAGUGAGGUUCUAACCGAGGCGCGUCAAUUGCUGGUUGAAAACUAUUUCCAAACCCCCUCUUAGGCCUGGGUUUGGCCCAGUGCCUUCGAGAAUUUCUGGAAGGGCUCCCUUCGGGGUAAAGCC
rfam:Populus trichocarpa scaffold_9_contig_116, whole genome shotgun sequence.